CACUUUCUUUGAAAUGAAAAUUAAGAAGAAGAAAAUUCUUCUUUCUUCAUUAUAUGUCUUUCAAUGAAGAAGAAAAAAAGAAGAACCGAAGAAGAGGAAUCGAAAAAGAAGAAGAAGAAAAAGAAGAAGAAGAAGAAUCAAAGAAAAAGAAAAAGAAGAAGAAAAAGAAGCAUCGAGAAUAAGCAGAAGAAGAAGAAUCGAAGAAGAAAAAAAUGACUGGAAAACGAAAAAACGAUGAACGAAAAACGAAAAAUAACGAACGAUGAACGCAGAAACUCAGCUGAAUUAUGCAUUUUUUUAUUACUGGAUAACGAUAAACGAAGAACAACGAACGAUGAACGCAGAAACCCAGCUGGGUUCUGCGUUUUUUUAUUACUAGACGAAAAGUUUAACGACGGAUUUUAUCCGCUGUUAGCUUAACAACAGAUAAAAAUCUGCCGUUAGCUUACUUACCAUUACUUACCCUAACGACGGAUAAAAAUCAGUCGUUAAGAUUUCUAACAACAGACUAUCCGCUGGUAAAAUUG
rnacentral:lncRNA from 1 species